GGCGGUAGGGCGGUUUUGGCAAUCGCACCGGAUUCAUAAGUCGGAUAAACUAGGUUCGAUGCCUAGUGCCGCUA
rnacentral:tRNA from 1 species